rnacentral:rRNA from 1 species
GAUGAACGCUGGCGGCGUGCCUAAUACAUGCAAGUCGAGCGAACGGACGAGAAGCUUGCUUCUCUGAUGUUAGCGGCGGACGGGUGAGUAACACGUGGAUAACCUACCUAUAAGACUGGGAUAACUUCGGGAAACCGGAGCUAAUACCGGAUGAUAUUUUGAACCGCAUGGUUCAAAAGUGAAAGACGGUCUUGCUGUCGCUUAUAGAUGGAUCCGCGCUGCAUUAGCUAGUUGGUAAGGUAACGGCUUACCAAGGCAACGAUGCAUAGCCGACCUGAGAGGGUGAUCGGCCACACUGGAACUGAGACACGGUCCAGACUCCUACGGGAGGCAGCAGUAGGGAAUCUUCCGCAAUGGGCGAAAGCCUGACGGAGCAACGCCGCGUGAGUGAUGAAGGUCUUCGGAUCGUAAAACUCUGUUAUUAGGGAAGAACAUAUGUGUAAGUAACUGUGCACAUCUUGACGGUACCUAAGCAGAAAGCCACGGCUAACUACGU